rnacentral:rRNA from 1 species
GGGGCGGAAGCUACCAUGCAGUCGAACGGUAACAGAAAGAAGCUUGCUUCUUUGCUGACGAGUGGCGGACGGGUGAGUAAUGUCUGGGAAACUGCCUGAUGGAGGGGGAUAACUACUGGAAACGGUAGCUAAUACCGCAUAACGUCGCAAGACCAAAGAGGGGGACCUUCGGGCCUCUUGCCAUCGGAUGUGCCCAGAUGGGAUUAGCUAGUAGGUGGGGUAACGGCUCACCUAGGCGACGAUCCCUAGCUGGUCUGAGAGGAUGACCAGCCACACUGGAACUGAGACACGGUCCAGACUCCUACGGGAGGCAGCAGUGGGGAAUAUUGCACAAUGGGCGCAAGCCUGAUGCAGCCAUGCCGCGUGUAUGAAGAAGGCCUUCGGGUUGUAAAGUACUUUCAGCGGGGAGGAAGGGAGUAAAGUUAAUACCUUUGCUCAUUGACGUUACCCGCAGAAGAAGCACCGGCUAACUCCGUGCCAGCAGCCGCGGUAAUACGGAGGGUGCAAGCGUUAAUCGGAAUUACUGGGCGUAAAGCGCACGCAGGCGGUUUGUUAAGUCAGAUGUGAAAUCCCCGGGCUCAACCUGGGAACUGCAUCUGA